GCAGUUUCUCUUCAUCUCUGAGAGCGUCUGUCCAUCUCUCCCGCUCUCGCCGUUGCGCUUCUGCUCGGCCUGUCGUCUCCGUGUCGCCUACGCUCGUCACUGUCUAACCGUGUCUGAGUGCCGAAUUCUCCUCACAACGGAAGGGAAAAACUGAGUGAAUUGAAGCAAGGACUUUCGCAGCAUGAGUAAGGGGGGAAAAUGAGAGCGUCCUUAUUGAAAGUCAACAGUUAAGGGCUUUUUCUUAGAAGCAUCGUCCGUAGUUGCAAUUCUCUUGCUUUAGGAAGCGUUUGGAGUCCUCUUAAGGCGCGAGACCUGACUAAAACGGCAGGGCUCUUGAGUUGCAAAUCGAUGUCGACGAAUUCGCCGGUUAUGCGAGUGAAAAAAAACAGAUCGAUUUGACAGAGAAGGAGAAGAUGAUCUCUGAGAAGUUCUCGCCACCGUUCGCCAUUUCGAUCUCCCUACCCAGCUGCGGGUGGCUGGUUGCUGGGUUCGCUUCGAUGUGCCUUUUAAGUUCUUUUGCAGUACCCAUCGUGUAAAAGCAUUUCGAUGUCCCUACCCAGAAUCGUUUAUCACAUUCAAGCUGGAAAGUUUUGAAGAGAAACGAUACGAUUGUUAUACUUGAAUCGUUGUGAAUGACAUUGUGAACAAUGGUGGAUUUAUUGCGUUAAACCUAUUCUUUGAAGAAGUUGCUGAACAAGCUCCCGUUAUCUCAUCUUUACAGCUUCUAGGGAAAGAGUAUUAUGAUAUUGAUAUUGCACUUGAUGACAUGUUGGGUAGUACAUUCGUGGAUAGGGUUACCCAAUAUUUGGCAUCAACUGGGGAAGAGGCGCGAGGUCUAGCUGUAAUCCCAAGGAUUUUGGCACUACAGAAGAGGAUGCUUACAAAGGGAUUUAACUAUAAACAGGCGCACUGUUCACAUUUUACGUUGGAUGUUGGAUGAAGAGCUGACGAGAGCUGCUGCAUUCAAUGAUGUCAAAGAUGCACUUGCAGCUAAAAUCUGUAGAGAGCACAUCGAAACAGAAGCAUGUGCCUAUAACAUUCCUCUUUUGGCUGCUUUAUCUCAUAUAAAUGUUUUUUGGUGAUAGUCUUGUAUAUGUGGGCUUUGUCUUUUCUCUUAACGUUUAUAUAUGAUUUGAAUCUUUCGUUUGAAUGUUACUUCUCAUUGAUGAGAUGGGAUCAA